rnacentral:rRNA from 1 species
GAUGAACGCUGGCGGCGUGCUUAACACAUGCAAGUCGAACGGAAAGGCCCAAGCUUGCUUGGGUACUCGAGUGGCGAACGGGUGAGUAACACGUGGGUAAUCUGCCCUGCACUUCGGGAUAAGCCUGGGAAACUGGGUCUAAUACCGGAUAGGACCACAUUCUGGAUGGUGUGGUGGAAAGUUUUUCGGUGUGGGAUGAGCUCGCGGCCUAUCAGCUUGUUGGUGGGGUAAUGGCCUACCAAGGCGUCGACGGGUAGCCGGCCUGAGAGGGUGUACGGCCACAUUGGGACUGAGAUACGGCCCAGACUCCUACGGGAGGCAGCAGUGGGGAAUAUUGCACAAUGGGCGCAAGCCUGAUGCAGCGACGCCGCGUGGGGGAUGACGGCCUUCGGGUUGUAAACUCCUUUCGCUAGGGACGAAGCGCAAGUGACGGUACCUGGAGAAGAAGCACCGGCUAACUACGUG